rnacentral:rRNA from 1 species
GAGUUUGAUCCUGGCUCAGAGCGAACGUUGGCGGCGCGCUUAACACAUGCAAGUCGCACGAGAAAAGGGGCAACCCUGAGUACAGUGGCGCACGGGUGCGUAACACGUAGGCAAUCUGCCCUCAGGCGGGGGAUAACUAUCCGAAAGGAUAGCUAAUACCGCGUAUGACCACAGUCCCUUCGGGGACAGAGGUAAAAGCUGGCCUCUACUUGUAAGCUAGCACCUGAGGAGGAGCCUGCGGCCCAUCAGCUAGUUGGUGAGGUAAAGGCUCACCAAGGCGAAGACGGGUAGCUGGUCUGAGAGGAUGAUCAGCCACACUGGCACUGAAACACGGGCCAGACUCCUACGGGAGGCAGCAGUGGGGAAUAUUGGACAAUGGGCGAAAGCCUGAUCCAGCGACGCCGCGU